UCGUGUUUUCAGUGGACAAACAGACCUUCAUAUGAAACUGCAGAUGUCACCUAGGGGAACCAAGCAGAUGAACGAGUGAGUUUUUGUCCUUUUGAUCCAGGCUCUGGUGCAUAUCAGUAAUGAGAUUUUUCCAUUCUUGUUCUGGAGUCUUGAUGCUCUGUGUGACUGAUGUUGUUUGUAUCUCCUCUAAUUUCCAUAAAAUGGCCCUGCUUGUGAGCAUCAGGAAGUCUGGGAGGUGAUGGGAUGCAGGAGAUGGCAGUUGUGAGUGGGGAGCAGCCAGCCUAGCCUUACUGUUGGCAGGAGGAUCCUGCCAGGAUGGAGCAAUUCAUGCCAUCUAAGAGUCAUCUGGCUAAUUGAAGGUACUGACUUGAUACAAUCUACUCACCACUGGAAGGCAUCUCUUUAACUGGAGAAAGCAGUAUAUGAAAAUGGUGAAAUGGAGCUAUGUGGAGUGAUCUGGAAGGAGCUGUGUUCUCUGCUGGUAGGGUGAUGAGGAGAGAGCAAGUCUCUUAUCUGGCAAGGACAUUUGUACUUGUAGUGCCAGUAUUGUCACAAGGCUGUGCACAUGCCUGGUUUUUUUUACAUGGUGGUUGUGUCCCGCCUUGUGUCCAUGGCUUGUCAUCCAGGGCAGAAAGGAUGGCUUUAAAGGGUGUGCCAGAGGUUCCAGAGAUAAGCACAGUGGUGGAAGUUCAGCCAAUUUUUGCAUGCAACAAGCCUGAUAAGGAAACAAGAGGCAGACACCAGAGAAUUGCUUCAUUAACUACAUUUUCCAUCCUGCUGGCUCCUGUGCACUAGAGAAGUCAAGUGAAAUAAGCAGAUAUAAAUACAAAAUAAUACAAAAGCAAAUGGGAGUUGAAGCUGUAUUAAAUAUGGGAUAAGUGAAAGGCCGGUUUAGAUAUAUUUCUUGUCACUGCUUUUAAAAAGAAGCUUCCAAGCAGACUGAUAGCUCUAGGGGUCGGAAGGUGCUCGGGAAGCAUUUCACCUCUAAGAGCAGGUCUGCACAGCAGGGUUUGGGUGUCAUGGCUUUUAUGCAUGCAGGGAUGUGUUGCCAGUAUUUCAGCUGUGUCCAGCAAGAAAUUCAGGGAUGUUAACAGCUCAGAGAGGGGUUGUGCUAUGUGAGUUGACUUUAGGGAGGUGCUGGGAAAUCUCUGUUUGCUCGGAUGGAUUUAGCCCACUAAUGAGUGUGUCCCUCAACUCUGUCUGCACAUCCAGGACUCAUUGCUACGCUGCUUUGCAAAUAUUGUGGGGAGUAUUUCUGCAUGAGAAUAUUUUAAAUGUAGUGCAUUUUGAAGGCAUUCAUGUGUUCAGGGCACUGUGUGAGUAAUCAGAAAAUGGGAUGAUUGUAGCUGGACUGGCUCAAGUGGAAAAGAAAAUAG
rnacentral:lncRNA from 1 species